UGCCUGCUUAAAGGUUUGAGGUUAUACCAGAUUGGAAAAUUUAGCCAAAUAGGACCAGAUAUUGAGUAGUGGUAUUGUUGUAGGAUAGAUAGUUGGUUAUGGGAUAUCUGUUAGCAUUCUUCCCGGUUGACAUAUAGUCUUUCAUCCAUAUUGGUUGCACAUAUUGCCUUUUGGACUUUCCAAAAAUGGAGGGAUCUUAUGAAGGUGAAGAAGUACAUGUUUCCGCAUUGUCUCCUGAAGGUGUAUGUGUGCUUGCCCCAGCAUCUGAGUUUGGAAAGUCCGCUACUGAAGCAUCUUGAGAAUCUCCAUGACUGCUAGUCUCAGCAAGGUGGCCAAGAAAAGGAUCUUCAGCUACAUCAGUGUCAGCUGCAUCAUUGGCAUUCUGAGCAUCAGAGGAUAGUGCAGCAUCUGCAACCUCAGAAAGUGAAGUUGAAGCUCUAGUAGAAGGUUGUGUAUUACAUAUUUGUGCAUGAAAUAUCUCAGGUUCCUACAUAAGAAAAUCAGCAUCUGAAGGGAAUUCAGAAGUUUGUGGUUGUGCAAAGGGAAAGACCGACUCCUUGAACACAACAUCUCUG
rnacentral:lncRNA from 1 species